rnacentral:rRNA from 1 species
GUCGAAGAGAAGGGUCUGGCCUGCUCACUGAUAAAUUAUUUAAAGAGCCUGCGGUAUAUCUGACAGUGCAAAGGUAGCAUAAUCAUUAGGGAUUUAAUUGGAACCUGGUAUGAAGGGUUGGACAAAGGAAAGACUGUCUAUAUAAUAUGAACUGAAAUUUACUUUUAAGUGAAAAGGCUUAAAUAAAUCAAAGGGACGAUAAGACCCUAUAAAGCUUUAUAAAUAAUUUAAAUUUAGUUGAUUUAAUGAUUAAAGGUUAAAUUUACUUGUUUUAUUUUGUUGGGGUGAUGUGAGUAAAAGUUGUUUUAAACUGCUUAAAAAAAAUUCUAUUAUUAAAGAAUUAAUAAAAUGGAUGAUCCUUUGUAAAGAUUAAAAGACUAAAUUACUUUAGGGAUAACAGCGUUAUUUCUUUUGAGAGUUCAUAUCGAAAAAGAAGAUUGCGACCUCGACGUUGAAUUAAAAUAUCUAUAUAAUGAAGCCGUUAUAAAAGAGGGUCUGUUCGACCUUUAAAUUUUUACAUGAUCUGAUCUCAGACCGGA